UACGUAGGGGGCAAGCGUUGUCCGGAUUUAUUGGGCGUAAAGAGCUCGUAGGCGGUUUGGUAAGUCUGGUGUGAAAUCUCCACGCUCAACGUGGAGGGGCCACCCGAUACUGCCAUGACUGGAGUCCGGUAGAGGAGUGUGGAAUUCCCGGUGUAGCGGUGAAAUGCGUAGAUAUCAGGAGGAACACCGGCGGUGUAGACGGCUGUCUGGACAGCAACUGACGCUGAGACACGAAAGCGUGGGGAGCAAACAGG
rnacentral:rRNA from 1 species